CCUACGGGGUGCACCAGUGGGGAAUAUUGCACAAUGGGCGCAAGCCUGAUGCAGCCAUGUCGCGUGUAUGAAGAAGGCCUUCGGGUUGUAAAGUACUUUCAGUCGGGAGGAAGGCGUUGAUGCUAAUAUCAUCAACGAUUGACGUUACCGACAGAAGAAGCACCGGCUAACUCCGUGCCAGCAGCCGCGGUAAUACGGAGGGUGCAAGCGUUAAUCGGAAUUACUGGGCGUAAAGCGCACGCAGGCGGUUGAUUAAGUUAGAUGUGAAAUCCCCGGGCUUAACCUGGGAAUGGCAUCUAAGACUGGUCAGCUAGAGUCUUGUAGAGGGGGGUAGAAUUCCAUGUGUAGCGGUGAAAUGCGUAGAGAUGUGGAGGAAUACCGGUGGCGAAGGCGGCCCCCUGGACAAAGACUGACGCUGAGGCGCGAAAGCGUGGGGAGCAAACAGGAUUAGAUACCCGAGUAGUC
rnacentral:rRNA from 1 species